UCUCAGGUUGGGUGUUAUUGGUGUCAAAUCUGCCACUUCUCAAGGGGAUACAGGUGAUGCUUCAUUGUUCUCAUUGCACCGUGAGGCAGAGCUGUGGGUUAGUAGGAAAGCAAAACAAUAAUUUCUUGUAAGUGCCACUGGAGCUUCACUCAUGCUGCUCACAGGAUACAUGACUUAAGUUAUUUUUAAUUACUAUUAAUCAAGUCACAUCUGUAGUAUGUUAAACAAAUUAUUUUUUACUAGAAGCAGGGCUGUCUACUGCCAUCAAACCUAGGGAAAAUAUGUAUAUGUGAGUGUAAGCUACUAAUUUUCUUUCUCUAUCCUACUUUUUCCUUUCUAAUCUCAUUGUUUCAUACAGAAACUUACUUUGCAAGCUACCUAGUGCUUUGCCAUUUGAUUUGUUCUCUAAAUCCACAGCACAGUCUGUUGUGGGACUUGUGUUCUUCACACAGGAUCAUAGCAAAUCAUAUUCUGCUUUUUUUCAGGCAGUUUAUUUUAGUAUCUACCCUUUUUAAUGAACAAUUUUUUUAAGGAAUCAGUAUGCAGUUCUUAUGAUGUGAACAGAGAGGAGCUUGCUUAUUUAUCUACAGGUAGGCCACCACCACCAGUAAGAAUUCCUGUCUCUGGUGCCAUAGAAAUACCUCAUGGAAAUGUCUGUAUGUUAAAAAGGCAACUGGCACAUAGCAUCUUCUAUUGUUAUAAAUGGGAACUAAGCAUUUAACAGCUGUUGUAUUGCUCUGCAGCAUUAUGAAAUGAGUAGAAGAUGCAAGCACAAGCCUUGGUACUCCUAUACUAAAUCAUUUUUCUUUGAAGUGGAGACUUAGUUGCUUUUUCUAUGUGGAACAUAUAUCGUUAGCAUGCUAAUCAGAAUACAAGCAGCUUGCAAAGGGGAUAAUGAGGGAGAACUUCCAUGUAAUGCUUGGUUUACAUCCACGUGACUCUGUAGAAAAAUGUUUUGUUUUGCUGAGCUGUCUGUAAUUUCAUAUUUUUUGCUUAAUGAAACUUCAAACAAAUUCUGCAUUGUAGGUUUCAGGUUUUCAUCCCAGAGAGAGGCUUGGGAUUCUGGGGAGGGCAGGGAGGCAAAGCAGCUUGGAAAACCUGAACAGACAUUAAGUAAGCAUGCCUCUUGAAGAAAGACAGAUAACUCAACCUUCCUAAAUGUGACAGAAGUAAAACUUCCUGUUUAAAUACACCAUAGCCUAAAAGCAUACGUCACAAUUUGUUUUUCUUAAGCCUUUUUGAGUUUAAUUUAAUAGAAAAUGUUUUCAUAAUUGUCUGAUAGCUUUUCUGAUAUUUUAUACAAGCUGAAAUAUUUCUCAUGCAGGUUUUGUUUUGAGGACUGGGAAGUAUGACCUUUUGGAGGCUGGGAACACACGUUCUACUAUGCACUGCUGCUUGAGAGUAUGCAAAAUGCUAAAGGUUUAAAUCAAAUUGCCCCGAGGACUGCUUACUGACCUUUUGAAUGCAAAGCUGUCAAAACCUUCAGCUAGACAUCAGCUAGAGAAGAACACUUAAGGCAGAUCAAUGCAAACAGAAAACAAUGUGGUUCUGACUUUUGUUAAUUCCUAGUUAGUAACAAACGUUACUGUGCUGCAAGAGCUGUUGGAAACAAACACAUACUGCUGAGGAGUUGCUGUGAGUAACAUGCACAUCUGUGUAUGCCACAUACUAAACCACACCAGGGACUUGAUUCCAGUGAAAAAAACACUUUUAUUUCUCUUGCCAAGUUAUUUGCAUCCACAUCAGUUCUCUGAUCUGAUUCCUCGCUUGGUUACACAAGCUCUUAUGCCAACCCAAAGUCAGCACCACAAGUUGCAAACAUUGAGUUGCAUCAAACAAACGGAGGAUGCCUGUGGAUGUGCUUCCAGCAGAGCCUCUGAUCUCCUCUUGCCCUGCUGCGCCUGGUCAGGGGCCAGAGAGAAACUUGAGCCAGUGUGCAGAUUCCAGCUGCAGCUGCCUGUCUGUUGUCUCUUUGGUCCCAAGCCAGCUGAGCACCAUGGGCUUAUCUCUCCGGAUUGCUGAGCAUCCCUGAGGUCAGAGAAACAAAAUAGUGUGCAGCACCUUGUGUGAGAGCCCAAGGUGGCAUGGCAGAGGCAUGCAGGCUGCCCUGCCCUGGGAAACAUUCAUAGUGGUUUAGCCGAUCUGAGUCAGGGCAGCUGCUGUCCCGUGCUGUUGCCAUACAUUCAGCUGCAUGUUGCAAUCCAUGGUCUUUCACCCUUCAUUGUGCACUAAGAGCCAGGUUAAGGAGGUAAACCAUGAGAAAUCAAGCUCUACUGAAAAAAAAAGAAAAAGGAAGUUUUCUGGCAGGUUAUGUGUCCAGAGGAACUCAGUGCAGGCAGAGGAGCAUCAGCUGUGGCAUGAGGGCCAGAGAGCAUGGAGCUGCAGUAAACCCAAAGUCCAUACCAUAAGAACUCUAUGCUGUGUGUAAGAGGAAGACUACACACACAGGCAUGAGGUAUGUCCUCAGGAGUGUACGUUCUGUAGCCAUAGCUGUGUGGUUUGUUAAAUGUACCAAGAAGACCCGAUUGCUUGCAUCAAGUAUUUUUAACACCUUCCAGCAGCAGUAAAUGGACAUGGGAGAGCAAGGAAACAUGCUUUGCCAAAUCCCUGUGAGAUUACUCCUCCAAACUGCUUGCAGUUACCUCCAGCAGCAGGGGAGGAUGUUGGAGUGUCUUCUUUCUCCUGGUGAAAUUCAUGGCAGGGUCCCUUUUCAUUCUAGUGUGAUGAGACUGCAGCAGUAGGGGUAAAUGUCUGGAGGCUGCCCCUGGGGCAUUGUGAAACAACCUGGCUGAGGCAUAUCCACUGAUUUGGGUCAGUGGACCACUGUUGUAGAAGGUGGCUGGGAAAAAAAACACA